rnacentral:tRNA from 1 species
GGCGCUAUGGUGUAGUGGUAGCACAUGGGAUUCUGAUCAGAAUAACGAAUUCCCACAACCCAGGUUCGAACCCUGGUAGUGCCU